rnacentral:tRNA from 1 species
GCCACUUUAGCUCAGUUGGUAGAGCAGUCCCUUCGUAAGGGAAAGGUCUCCGGUUCGAGUCCGGAAAGUGGCUCCA